GUACUGCUGAAGAGUCCCAAACUAGGAUGAAACCGCCGUCCAGUAC
rfam:Trichobilharzia regenti genome assembly, scaffold: TRE_scaffold0012967